UCUUAUCUGCGUGAGAGGAUAAAGAUAAGUGGUUGCACAUUUGAAUUCAAAUCGAGUUUGAAUUCAAAUGCAAACCAACUCAUCCCUAUCCACUUAUGGCAUGAGAAGAGAAGGGCAUGGACUUUUUGUGCAUGAAAAUGUUUCACGAGAAACCUUUUCUCGUGUAAGUUAUGUGGCGCACAAGAUGGAUAAGCAUGAAGGCAC
rnacentral:lncRNA from 1 species